UACGGAGGGUGCAAGCGUUAUCCGGAUUCACUGGUUUAAAGGGUGCGUAGGAGGGCAGGUAAGUCAGUGGUGAAAUCUCCGAGCUUAACUUGGAACUGCCGUUGAUACUAUCUGUCUUGAAUAUUGUGGAGGUGAGCGGAAUAUGUCAUGUAGCGGUGAAAUGCUUAGAUAUGACAUAGAACACCAAUUGCGAAGGCAGCUCGCUACACAUAUAUUGACUCUGAGGCACGAAAGCGUGGGGAGCAAACAGG
rnacentral:rRNA from 1 species